rnacentral:rRNA from 1 species
UACGUAGGGUGCAAGCGUUGUCCGGAAUUAUUGGGCGUAAAGAGCUCGUAGGCGGUUUGUCGCGUCUGCUGUGAAAACUGGAGGCUCAACCUCCAGCCUGCAGUGGGUACGGGCAAACUAGAGUGCGGUAGGGGAGAUUGGAAUUCCUGGUGUAGCGGUGGAAUGCGCAGAUAUCAGGAGGAACACCGGUGGCGAAGGCAGAUCUCUGGGCCGUAACUGACGCUGAGGAGCGAAAGCGUGGGGAGCGAACAGG